rnacentral:rRNA from 1 species
GCUUGCUCCUUUGACGUUAGCGGCGGACGGGUGAGUAACACGUGGGUAACCUACCUAUAAGACUGGGAUAACUUCGGGAAACCGGAGCUAAUACCGGAUAACAUUUGGAACCGCAUGGUUCUAAAGUGAAAGAUGGUUUUGCUAUCACUUAUAGAUGGACCCGCGCCGUAUUAGCUAGUUGGUAAGGUAACGGCUUACCAAGGCAACGAUACGUAGCCGACCUGAGAGGGUGAUCGGCCACACUGGAACUGAGACACGGUCCAGACUCCUACGGGAGGCAGCAGUAGGGAAUCUUCCGCAAUGGGCGAAAGCCUGACGGAGCAACGCCGCGUGAGUGAUGAAGGGUUUCGGCUCGUAAAACUCUGUUAUUAGGGAAGAACAAAUGUGUAAGUAACUGUGCACGUCUUGACGGUACCUAAUCAGAAAGCCACGGCUAACUACGUGCCAGCAGCCGCGGUAAUACGUAGGUGGCAAGCGUUAUCCGGAAUUAUUGGGCGUAAAGCGCGCGUAGGCGGUUUCUUAAGUCUGAUGUGAAAGCCCACGGCUCAACCGUGGAGGGUCAUUGGAAACUGGGAAACUUGAGUGCAGAAGAGGAAAGUGGAAUUCCAUGUGUAGCGGUGAAAUGCGCAGAGAUAUGGAGGAACACCAGUGGCGAAGGCGACUUUCUGGUCUGUAACUGACGCUGAUGUGCGAAAGCGUGGGGAUCAAACAGGAUUAGAUACCCUGGUAGUCCACGCCGUAAACGAUGAGUGCUAAGUGUUAGGGGGUUUCCGCCCCUUAGUGCUGCAGCUAACGCAUUAAGCACUCCGCCUGGGGAGUACGACCGCAAGGUUGAAACUCAAAGGAAUUGACGGGGACCCGCACAAGCGGUGGAGCAUGUGGUUUAAUUCGAAGCAACGCGAAGAACCUUACCAAAUCUUGACAUCCUUUGAAAACUCUAGAGAUAGAGCCUUCCCCUUCGGGGGACAAAGUGACAGGUGGUGCAUGGUUGUCGUCAGCUCGUGUCGUGAGAUGUUGGGUUAAGUCCCGCAACGAGCGCAACCCUUAAGCUUAGUUGCCAUCAUUAAGUUGGGCACUCUAGGUUGACUGCCGGUGACAAACCGGAGGAAGGUGGGGAUGACGUCAAAUCAUCAUGCCCCUUAUGAUUUGGGCUACACACGUGCUACAAUGGACAAUACAAAGGGCAGCUAAACCGCGAGGUCAUGCAAAUCCCAUAAAGUUGUUCUCAGUUCGGAUUGUAGUCUGCAACUCGACUACAUGAAGCUGGAAUCGCUAGUAAUCGUAGAUCAGCAUGCUACGGUGAAUACGUUCCCGGGUCUUGUACACACCGCCCGUCACACCACGAGAGUUUGUAACACCCGAAGCCGGUGGAGUAACCA